GACCCGGUAGUGCAGUGGUUAGCGCGCGCCCUUCUGAAGGGUGAGACGCGGGUUCGGAUCCCGCUCAGGGUCG